CUCCUGUGUCCUCUGUCCUGCUGGUCUCUGAGUGUCUGUCCCAGGGAGAGAUGAGGGUGUCCUGCUCCUCUGUGGGAGGGGACAGUCCUCAGUACAGCUGGACUCUGGAUGGAUGCACACUGACAGAUGCUGAGCUUUUUUCUGGAAAUAAUAAGAGUAACAACAUUAUUCUGAAACAGCACGUCUCAGGACAUCUGGUCUGCUCAGUGAGAAAUCAUGUCAAUAGUGUCUUCAAAGAACAAAGGAUAUGUACUUGUGAUAACUCCUUACUUUUAUGUGGUUUGAGAGCAAUCUUGGGAAUUCUCUUAUUAAUUGGGAUUUUCAUCUACUUUGCUUGGAAGAAAAAGAAAACUGAAAAAGCUGCUGUCCCACAAACAAUGGACUAUCCAGACAACUCUGUUCUGAUGGUUGAAAUGACAACUUCUACUUCUUGCAACGCGUAGUGUCAACUUUCAUCUGCCCGACAUUUCACAUCUCUGUGAGUGUGAAAAUAGCACUUAGAUGACACGUAUCUCUUGUUUUUAUUCACUAAUCAUGUUUUACAUUUACACAUCUUACACUGAAUGA
ensembl:lncRNA